GACGAAGGGGGCUAGCGUUGUUCGGAAUUACUGGGCGUAAAGCGAGUGUAGGCGGUUGUUCAAGUCAGGGGUGAAAGCCUUGAGCUCAACUCAAGAAAUGCACUUGAUACUGGAUGACUAGAGGACCGGAGAGGAUAGUGGAAUUCCCAGUGUAGUGGUGAAAUACGUAGAGAUUGGGAAGAACACCAGUGGCGAAGGCGGCUAUCUGGACGGUUACUGACGCUAAGACUCGAAAGCGUGGGGAGCAAACAGG
rnacentral:rRNA from 1 species